rnacentral:lncRNA from 1 species
CUUCUAGGUGCUGCCGCCGCCACCGCCACCACCACCUCCACCGCCGCCUCGGAACCCAGGCCUGGGGGGCGGUGGGGCCGCGUAUGGAGCCCCCGCCCCCCGGAGCUGCCAACAUUGCCAACGCCACCGCCACGCUACACACAGGGGUCCAGGAAGAAUUUGUACCAUUUAAUGGGUUGGGAGUCUUGGCCAAGGAAGAAUCACACCCUUGGAAUAGAAAUUUCCACCUCCCCAACCUUUCUCUCAGACAGCUUAUCCUUUUCAACCAACUUUUUGGCCAGGGAGGAAUGUCCCUUUUGUUCUUCCCCCUGAGAAGCCAUUCCUUUGUCUGCCAACCUCCCUGGGGUCCUGCCUGUUUCCUCCCAAUGGAGGGUUUUUUUGGGGGGUGGUCCCCGUCUGGGGGGCCCCUCCAGCCAGUACUCCAGGUCUCCCUGUCUCUCCCCCGCUGCCAUUUUGAUAGUAUAAUCUAUUUUUAAAUGGGGCUUUUCAAUAGGGGAGAGGGAGUCAUCUCUUCCUAUAUUUGGUGGGGUGGGUGGGAAGGAAGGGAUUUGGGGGGGAAUCUUCCUGCCGCCUCCCCCACUCCAAGUGUUUAUUUUUGAUACCAAACAUGAAUUUUCAGUUCCCUCCCUCCCAGCCCCCCAAUUUCCUGCGGGCGGGUACAAAGGACCCUUUCAAUGUCCCUGGAGUUGGGAGGGAGGAAUGGGGGACAUAAAGCCUGUCCUGUCUCUAUUCUAGGCAAGAGAGAGUGGGUUCAAAAGACUCCUGGGCUCACCUGUUAGCGCUGGCCCAGCCCAGGCCUUGGGACCUGGGGGUUGGUGAUUUGGGGGACAGUGCUACACUCGUCUCCACUGUUUGUUUUACUUCCCCAAAAUGGACCUUUUUUUUUUCUAAAGAGUCCCAGAGAAUGGGGAAUUGUUCCUGUAAAUAUAUAUUUUUC